ACAGGCUAUUUAAACAAACACUGUGAUUGCAAUUUAGACAAUCUGGAGUCCAUUCAAUAUUAAAUCCCUACCCCAAGCUACAGCUACUACACAAAUAGGGAAUUCAUGGUAUACUCCACAUGGCCAUUUACUACUGAAACUCUUGCCUCCUGACAAUCGUAGGGAGGAGCUAGCCAGGCCUAACAUUACACCAGUUAAAUCUGUCAACAACUGGAGAAAGCGCUCCGCUGGGCAAACAUCCCGAUCCCCCUCACACAGCCUGGCUUUGUCCUGGCCUCGCCGCAACAACACUAAUCUUCUCAUACUAUCUUCAGCAGCGCAAGCAGAAACUUCUGUGACUAGCUCUAACAAAAGACGCCUUUCUUUAUCUUCACGCACACUGAGCAAGGAGUCCUUCCAAAUAGUGUGA
rnacentral:lncRNA from 1 species